GAUGAACGCUGGCGGCGUGCCUAAUACAUGCAAGUCGAGCGAACGGACGAGAAGCUCGCUUCUCUGAUGUUAGCGGCGGACGGGUGAGUAACACGUGGAUAACCUACCUAUAAGACUGGGAUAACUUCGGGAAACCGGAUCUAAUACCGGAUAAUAUUUUGAACCGCAUGGUUCAAAAGUGAAGGACGGUCUUGCUGUCACUUAUAGAUGGAUCCGCGCUGCAUUAGCUAGUUGGUAAGGUAACGGCUUACCAAGGCAACGAUGCAUAGCCGACCUGAGAGGAUGAUCAGCCACACUGGAACUGAGACACGGUCCAGACUCCUACGGGAGGCAGCAGUAGGGAAUCUUCCGCAAUGGGCGAAAGCCUGACGGAGCAACGCCGCGUGAGUGAUGAAGGUCUUCGGAUCGUAAAACUCUGUUAUUAGGGAAGAACAUAUGUGUAAGUAACUGUGCACAUCUUGACGGUACCUAAUCAGAAAGCCACGGCUAACUACGUG
rnacentral:rRNA from 1 species